rnacentral:tRNA from 1 species
GAAGGUAUAGCUCAGUGAUAGAGCCUGUGCCUGGCAUGCAAGAGGUCCUGGGUUCAACCCCCAGUGCCUCCA